CCUACGGGGGGCAGCAGUGGGGAAUAUUGCGCAAUGGACGAAAGCCUGACGCAGCGACGCCGCGUGAGGGAUGAAGGUCUUCGGAUCGUAAACCUCUGUCAGCAGGGAAGAACGGUCACUGUGCUAAUCAGCAGUGAAUUGACGGUACCUGCAAAGGAGGCACCGGCUAACUCCGUGCCAGCAGCCGCGGUAAUACGGAGGGUGCGAGCGUUAAUCGGAAUUACUGGGCGUAAAGCGCUCGUAGGCGGUAUGUCAAGUCAAGGGUGAAAUCCCCGCGCUCAACGUGGGAACUGCCUUUGAAACUGGCAAACUGGAGUGUGUGAGAGGAUAGUGGAAUUCCAGGUGUAGGAGGGAAAGCCGUAGAUAUCUGGAGGAACAUCAGUGGCGAAGGCGACUAUCUGGCACAUAACUGACGCUGAGGAGCGAAAGCGUGGGUAGCAAACAGGAUUAGAUACCCGGGUAGUC
rnacentral:rRNA from 1 species